UAAACUUACGGCACAGACCUACGGUCAAU
rnacentral:sRNA from 1 species